UACGUAGGGUGCGAGCGUUGUCCGGAAUUAUUGGGCGUAAAGGGCUCGUAGGCGGUCUGUUACGUCGGGAGUGAAAACUCGGGGCUCAACCCCGAGCCUGCUUCCGAUACGGGCAGACUAGAGGUAUGCAGGGGAGAAUGGAAUUCCUGGUGUAGCGGUGAAAUGCGCAGAUAUCAGGAGGAACACCGAUUGCGAAGGCAGCUCGCUGGGACGUAACUGACGCUGAGACGCGAAAGCGUGGGGAGCAAACAGG
rnacentral:rRNA from 1 species